AACAAUUUGGAAUCAUAUCUUUUAUCAAACAUUAAUAAAAGUAUUUCUAACAAAUAAUAAAAAUAGGACUAAUUGAAAGUUAUGACAUGACUCACAAUUGAGUCUAAAUUUAAAAAUAAUAAUAAUAAUCAACUGUUAUUAAAUAUUCUAGUGUUUCUAAAAAUUAAAGUACUUCAUGAUGGAGAUCCGUUGGUCCAAUAUGCAUCCAUCCACCGCCAUCCAGCAUACUAAUUUCUACCUGAAAAUUGUAAAUAGAGAGGGAUGAGUAUAACGAAUUAUACUCAAUGAAAUGCUUGCUACUCCACAUUCAAAUCAAACGUGAAAUUAUGCAUAAAUUCUCUUACAAACAUAACAUGAGAAUUAUCACACCAUGACAAAUGAUAAUUCAAGCAAGCGCUGCAAAUAACGUGAAGGCUAAAUUGUGCCUUAAACUGUAUCAUGAUUUCUCCCAAAGGAGCUCUAAACUGAAGUAAUUAAAUCCAUACAUAACAACGUAUUUGAAAAGAUGUGGACAAACCACUAAUAGCACUGAGCAUCUCACAUUUUGAAGAUGAACGUGGAAAACAAAAUUACUGAAAACGUGAUUCUUUAUUGAAAUUCCAAAGCCUUAAAAAGCCUUAAUAAUAUGGAGAAAUAUUUUUAAAGA
rnacentral:lncRNA from 1 species